AUUGAACGCUGGCGGCAUGCCUUACACAUGCAAGUCGAACGGCAGCAUGGAGAGCUUGCUCUCUGAUGGCGAGUGGCGAACGGGUGAGUAAAGCAUCGGAACGUACCGUGUAGUGGGGGAUAACGUAGCGAAAGUUACGCUAAUACCGCAUACGCACUGAGGUGGAAAGCAGGGGAUCGUAAGACCUUGCGCUAUACGAGCGGCCGAUGUCAGAUUAGCUAGUUGGUAGGGUAAAGGCCUACCAAGGCGACGAUCUGUAGCGGGUCUGAGAGGAUGAUCCGCCACACUGGGACGGAGACACGGCCCAGACUCCUACGGGAGUCAGCAGUGGGUAAUUUUGGACAAUGGGGGCAACUCUGAUCCAGCCAUGCCGCGUGAGUGAAGAAGGCCUUCGGGUUGUAAAGCUCUUUCGGCCGGGGAGAAAUCGCACAGGCUAAUACCCUGUGUGGAUGACGGUACCGGCAUAAGAAGCACCGGCUAACUACGUGCCAGCCGCCGCUGUAA
rnacentral:rRNA from 1 species